rfam:Photobacterium halotolerans strain S2753 contig0007, whole genome shotgun sequence.
UUGACCCUGGGGUGUACGUCAGCGAAUCGACGUCCCCGAGCCGAUAAGCAAAAAACCAGGAUCGGCUUUUAUCCGCUAUUGAGCAUGCUCAGCAUGACUGAGAAGCCUACGGCUGAUGCUGCCAAUCCACCUUGAACGUCUGGUUCAAGGGCAACAAUUCGCAACGGCACCCUGGGGUACUC